rnacentral:rRNA from 1 species
AACGAACGCUGGCGGCAGGCUUAACACAUGCAAGUCGGGCGCCCCGCAAGGGGAGCGGCAGACGGGUGAGUAACGCGUGGGAAUCUACCCAUCUCUACGGAAUAACGCAUGGAAACGUGUGCUAAUACCGUAUACGUCCUUCGGGAGAAAGAUUUAUCGGAGAUGGAUGAGCCCGCGUUGGAUUAGCUAGUUGGUGGGGUAAAGGCCUACCAAGGCGACGAUCCAUAGCUGGUCUGAGAGGAUGAUCAGCCACACUGGGACUGAGACACGGCCCAGACUCCUACGGGAGGCAGCAGUGGGGAAUAUUGGACAAUGGGCGCAAGCCUGAUCCAGCCAUGCCGCGUGAGUGAUGAAGGCCCUAGGGUUGUAAAGCUCUUUCACCGGUGAAGAUAAUGACGGUAACCGGAGAAGAAGCCCCGGCUAACUUUGUGCCAGCCGCCGCCGUAAUAC